GACGAACGCUGGCGGCGUGCUUAACACAUGCAAGUGGAGCGACGAACCGGGCUUCGGCCCGGGGCAAAGCCGCGAACGGGUGAGUAUCACGUGGGUAACCUGCCCCGAUGACCGGGACAACCCGAGGAACUCGGGCUAAUACCGGAUGUUCUCCCCACACAUCAGUGUGGGGUGCAAAGGAAGCUUCGGCCUCCGCAUUGGGAUGGGCCCGCGGCCCAUUAGCUUGUUGGUGAGGUAACGGCUCACCAAGGCAACGAUGGGUAGCUGGUCUGAGAGGACGAUCAGCCACAUUGGGACUGAGAGACGGCCCAGACUCCUACGGGAGGGCAGCAGUGGGGAAUCUUGCGCAAUGGCCGAAAGGCUGACGCAGCGACGCCGCGUGGGGAUGAAGG
rnacentral:rRNA from 1 species